rnacentral:rRNA from 1 species
GUUCGUUAAAACCAGAUUGAACUGUGGCGGGAUGCUUUACACGUACAAGUCGAACGGCAGCUGGACUUCGGUCUGGUGGCGAGUGGCGAACAGGUGAGUAAUGUAUGAACGUUAACACAAGUAGCGGGGGGAUAACUACGCGAAAGCGUAGCUAAUACCGCAUACGCCCAUCAGAGGAAAGCGGGGGACGCUUCAGGCCUCGCACUAGAGCGGCCGAUAUCGGAUUAGCUAGUUGGUGGGGUAACGGCUCGCAAGGCGACGAUCCGUAGCUGGUUUGAAGAGAGGACGACCAGCCACACUGGGACUGAGACACGGCCAGACUCCUACGGGAAGCAGCGAGUGGGGGAAUUUUGGACAAUGGGGAAACCUGAUCCGGCCAUCCCGCGUGUGCGAUGAAGGCCUUCCGGGUUGUAAAGCACUUUUGGCAGGAAAGAAGCGGCACAGGAUAAUACCCCGUGCAACUGACCGUGCCACCAGAAUAAGCACCGGCUAACUACGUGCCAGCAGCCGCGGUAAUACGUAGGGUGCAAGCGUUAAUCGGAAUUACUGGGCGUAAAGCCAUUGCGCAGGCGGUUCGGAAAGAAAGAUGUGAAAUCCCCAGAGCUUAACUUUGGAACUGCAUUUUAACUACCGAGCUAGAGUGUGUCAGAGGAAGUGGAAUUCCCGCGUGUAGUGAAAUGCGUAGUAUGCGGAGGAACACCGAUGGCGAAGGCAGCCUCACCUGGGAUAACACUGACGCUCAUGCACGAAAGCGUGGGGAGCAAACAGGAUUAAGAUACCACCAUUGGUCCCACCCCUGGCUGAUGUCAACUAGCUGUUGGGGCCUUCGGACGCGAAGUGGCGCAGCUAACGCGUGAAGUUGACCGCCUGGGGAGAUACGGUCGCAGAUUAAAACUCAAAAGGAAUUGAAGGCGGGGACCCGCACAAGCGGUGGAUGAUGUGGAUUAAUUCGAUGCAACGCGAAAAACCACCUACCCUUGACAUGUCUGGAAUCCCGAAGAGAUUUGGGAGUGCUCGCAAGAGAACCGGAACACAGGUGCUGCAUGGCUGUCGUCAGCUCGUGUCGUGAGAUGUUGGGUUAGAAAAUUCCGCAACGAGCGCCAACCCUUAUCGUGUAGUUGCUACGAAGAGGCACUCUAAUGAGACUGCCGGUGACAAACCCGGAGGAAGGUGGGAAUAGUCAAGUCCUCAUGGCCACUUAUGGGUAGAGACUUCACGUCAUACAAUGGUCGGGACGAGAUUAACCAACCCGCGAGGGGAGCCAAUCCCAGAAACCCGAUCAUGGUCGGAUCGCAGCCUGCAACUCGACUGCGUGAAGUCGGAAUCAGCUAGUAAUCGCGGAUCAGCGUAUGCUUGGUGAAUACGUUCUGGUCUUGUACACACCGCCCGUCACACCAUGGGAGUGGGUUUUGCAAGUAGUUUAGCCUAACCGUAAGGAGGGCGAUUACCACGGUAGGAUUCAUGACUGGGGUGAAAUUCGUAACUUUCAAAGUGGC